rnacentral:lncRNA from 1 species
UCCUGGGCUGGGGACAGGGAGAGGAAGAAGAGAAAGAUCCGCCAUGCUGGAAAAAGGAGAACUAAGAUGCCACACCCGAGAAGCUCAGGACAGAGAACAUAGCCGCCAUAUUGGAGUAAGGGGAUCCCAGCCCAAGAUGGUCUGGGUAUAGGGCAGCAAAGAUGGAAAACAGUUAGGGACUCCAUCCAAUAAAGGCAAAUAAAGAGAGCCUGAAAGUAUAGCUUGGCACCUACGCAGCAAGCCACUCCUGUCUACAGUGCUCAUGAACCUUCCAGAAUCAUGGAGAAGACCUGCCGUGCAUGGCCCUUAUUGCAAACUGAAAGUGUUUCGAGGCCCAAGGUGGAAAGAAAAAAAAAAGAAGAAAGCAAACCUGGGAAACACAGAAUUCAUUCAGCCCCUUGUAGUCCCGCACUUUGGUCACAGAGGAAACAUCCCCUGACAGCCUGGUGUUCGAAUCUAAUGUGGUCAAAGCAAACUAUGGAGCCGGACCUAUGCAAAUCUCUACAGAAACUCGAGGUUUGCUUCUGCCACAUCUGGGUCUCCCGAGGUCGGAGAGGAUCGUCUUUAAUAUUCCUUGGUAGAUUCCAGGAUCCUACAAGCCACAACCUCUUCGCCGUAUUUCCCAGGAGCAGCCCCCAUCCAUGGUUUGGAGGACUCGACCCUAUGGAGCGCCCUGGCCUGGAGGUGUGCAGGUUAGAAGGAACCCCAGCUGUGGCACCUCACUAUCCUUCUCUUUCCCGACCCGUUCAAAAAUAAAAAAAUAAACCCCAA